rnacentral:rRNA from 1 species
CUACGGGACGCAGCAGUGAGGAAUAUUGGACAAUGGUCGAAAGACUGAUCCAGCCAUGCCGCGUGCAGGAUGACUGCCCUAUGGGUUGUAAACUGCUUUUAUACGGGAAGAAAAACACCUACGUGUAGGUGACUGACGGUACCGUAAGAAUAAGGACCGGCUAACUCCGUGCCAGCAGCCGCGGUAAUACGGAGGGUCCAAGCGUUAUCCGGAAUCAUUGGGUUUAAAGGGUCCGUAGGCGGGCUAUUAAGUCAGAGGUGAAAGUUUGCAGCUCAACUGUAAAAUUGCCUUUGAUACUGAUAGUCUCGAAUGGUAGUGAAGUGGGUAGAAUAUGUGGUGUAGCGGUGAAAUGCAUAGAUAUCACAUAGAAUACCGAUUGCGAAGGCAGAUCACUAACUAUAUAUUGACGCUGAGGGACGAAAGCGUGGGGAGCGAACGGGAUUAGAUACCCUCGUAGUC